rnacentral:lncRNA from 1 species
AUUCCUGAUUUUCCCUCAAAUCCCAGCCCCAGGACCCCCAAAUUCCCAAAAUCCCACAAAAAACUUCUGGAAUUCCCGAUUUUCCCUCAAAUCCCAACCCCAAAUCCCAAAUUCCCUCAAAUCCCAGCCCCAGAACCCCCAAAUUCCCCAAAAUCCCAGCCCAAAAUUCCCGAUUUCCCUCCAAAUCCCAGCCCCAGGACGCGCAAAUUCCCAAAAUCCCAUCAAAACCCACCUGAAUUCCCAAUUUUCCCUCAAAAUCCCAGCCCCAGGACCCCCAAAUUCCCAAAAUCCCAGCCCAAAAUCCCGGAUUUCCCUCAAAUCCCAGCCCUGGAAGCCCCAAAUUCCCCAAAUCCCACAAAAAACUUCCUGAAUUCCCGAAUUUCCCUCCAAAAAUUUGGGCUGUUUUGGGUAUUUUUGGGGUAUUUUUGGGUAUUUUUUGUGAUUUUUUGGGGGGUUUUGGGGUGUUUUUGUGGUUCUUUUCCUGUUUUUUGGGGGGUAUUUGGGUGUUUUUGGGGUGUUUUGGGGUGUUUUUUGUGUUUUUUGGGUGUUUUUGUGGUGCUUUUCCUGGUUUUGGGGGUAUUUGGGUGUUUUUGGGGUGUUUUUUGGGGUGUUUUUUGGGGUGUUUUGGGGGUAUUUUGGGGUGUUUUUUGGGUACUUUUGGGGGUUUUUAGGGGGUUUUGGGUGUUUUUAGGGGUUUUGGGGGUAUUUUUGGGGUAUUUUGGGGUGUUUUUGGGGUGUUGAGUAUUUGGGUAUUUUUGGGGUAGUUUCUGGGUAUUUUUGGGCAUUUUUGGGGUGUUUUUUGGGUAUUUGGGGGGUGUUUUUAGGGGGUUUUUGGGUAUUUUGGGGUGUUUUUGUGGUUCUUUACC